AGGAUGAACGCUGGCGGUCUGCUUAACACAUGCAAGUCGAACGGAGUAGCAAUACUUAGUGGCGGACGGGUGAGUAACGCGUAGGUAUCUGUCCAUGGGUGGGGGAUAACGGCGGGAAACUGCUGCUAAUACCGCAUGACACCUGAGGGUCAAAGGCGCAAGUCGCCUGUGGAGGAGCCUGCGUCCGAUUAGCUAGUUGGUGGGGUAACGCCUACCAAGGCGACGAUCGGUAGCUGGUCUGAGAGGAUGAUCAGCCACACUGGGACUGAGACACGGCCCAGACUCCUACGGGAGGCAGCAGUGGGGAAUAUUGGACAAUGGGCGCAAGCCUGAUCCAGCAAUGCCGCGUGGGUGAAGAAGGUCUUCGGAUUGUAAAGCCCUUUCGGCGGGGACGAUGAUGACGGUACCGCAGAGACGCCCGGCUAACUCGUCGCCAGCAGCCGC
rnacentral:rRNA from 1 species